AGCUCAGAGCUUACAGAGCCCUCAAAUAUUGACCAGGGAGCGGGUAAUGCCUUCUGGAGGUGAGCUCCGAGCUUACAGAGCCCUCAAAUAUUGACCAGGGAGCGGGUAAUGCCUUCUGGAGGUGAGCUCAGAGCUUACAGAGCCCUCAAAUAUUGACCAGGGAGCGGGUAAUGCCUUCUGGAGGUGAGCUCCGAGCUUACAGAGCCCUCAAAUAUUGACCAGGGAGCGGGUAAUGUCUUCUGGAGGUGAGCUCAGAGCUUACAGAGCCCUCAAAUAUUGACCAGGGAGCGGGUAAUGCCUUCUGGAGGUGAGCUCCGAGCUUACAGAGCCCUCAAAUAUUGACCAGGGAGCGGGUAAUGCCUUCUGGAGGUGAGCUCCGAGCUUACAGAGCCCUCAAAUAUUGACCAGGGAGCGGGUAAUGCCUUCUGGAGGUGAGCUCAGAGCUUACAGAGCCCUCAAAUAUUGACCAGGGAGCGGGUAAUGCCUUCUGGAGGUGAGCUCCGAGCUUACAGAGCCCUCAAAUAUUGACCAGGGAGCGGGUAAUGCCUUCUGGAGGUGAGCUCAGAGCUUACAGAGCCCUCAAAUAUUGACCAGGGAGCAGGUAAUGCCUUCUGGAGGUGAGCUCAGAGCUUACAGAGCCCUCAAAUAUUGACCAGGGAGCAGGUAAUGCCUUCUGGAGGUGAGCUCCGUGCUUACAGAGCCCUCAAAUAUUGACCAGGGAGCAGGUAAUGCCUUCUGGAGGUGAGCUCCGAGCUUACAGAGCCCUCAAAUAUUGACCAGGGAGCGGGUAAUGCCUUCUGGAGGUGAGCUCUGAGCUUACAGAGCCCUCAAAUAUUGACCAGGGAGCGGGUAAUGCCUUCUGGAGGUGAGCUCUGAGCUUACAGAGCCCUCAAAUAUUGACCAGGGAGCGGGUAAUGCCUUCUGGAGGUGAGCUCUGAGCUUACAGAGCCCUCAAAUAUUGACCAGGGAGCGGGUAAUGCCUUCUGGAGGUGAGCUCUGAGCUUACAGAGCCCUCAAAUAUUGACCAGGGAGCGGGUAAUGCCUUCUGGAGGUGAGCUCAGAGCUUACAGAGCCCUCAAAUAUUGACCAGGGAGCGGGUAAUGCCUUCUGGAGGUGAGCUCCGAGCUUACAGAGCCCUCAAAUAUUGACCAGGGAGCGGGUAAUGCCUUCUGGAGGUGAGCUCCGAGCUUACAGAGCCCUCAAAUAUUGACCAGGGAGCGGGUAAUGCCUUCUGGAGGUGAGCUCCGAGCUUACAGAGCCCUCAAAUAUUGACCAGGGAGCGGGUAAUGCCUUCUGGAGGUGAGCUCUGAGCUUACAGAGCCCUCAAAUAUUGACCAGGGAGCGGGUAAUGCCUUCUGGAGGUGAGCUCUGAGCUUACAGAGCCCUCAAAUAUUGACCAGGGAGCGGGUAAUGCCUUCUGGAGGUGAGCUCUGAGCUUACAGAGCCCUCAAAUAUUGACCAGGGAGCGGGUAAUGCCUUCUGGAGGUGAGCUCUGAGCUUACAGAGCCCUCAAAUAUUGACCAGGGAGCGGGUAAUGCCUUCUGGAGGUGAGCUCUGAGCUUACAGAGCCCUCAAAUAUUGACCAGGGAGCGGGUAAUGCCUUCUGGAGGUGAGCUCUGAGCUUACAGAGCCCUCAAAUAUUGACCAGGGAGCGGGUAAUGCCUUCUGGAGGUGAGCUCAGAGCUUACAGAGCCCUCAAAUAUUGACCAGGGAGCGGGUAAUGCCUUCUGGAGGUGAGCUCUGAGCUUACAGAGCCCUCAAAUAUUGACCAGGGAGCGGGUAAUGCCUUCUGGAGGUGAGCUCAGAGCUUACAGAGCCCUCAAAUAUUGACCAGGGAGCGGGUAAGCCUCGACGGUUACAUGAGUGUUGACUGCAAACCUGUUGAGGCUUUACAAACCUAAUGUUCCCCCAAUCACAGGGGGCCCUGUGAGUAAACUGUGGGACAGCUGCUGAGGCCCCUAUUGGCAGUGACUCAAGCGUGGCCAAGAAGGAAGGGUCUGUGUUGUUGACCAAUCCAAUGAAGGGAGUCCUCAGAGGUCUAUUUGCGAAAGACAGACACCGCUCAGAAAAAGGCCUCCAAUUUUGAGAAGGACGGCUCUGGAAUGCAGCCACAAACCCAGUCCCCUGGGGGAAAGGCAAUACACAGAAUCGGACAGGAUCGGUAUAGAGGCCAGGCCUGAUAGUUUUAUAAAAGCGAUACCUAACUAGUGUAAGUACGGCUGGUCACAAGAACUCACUGAAUAAGCCUCUUUGCUUUUCCAUGGGCUCUGCCCCUGCCUUCCUGCUACUAGGAGGAGUUGGAACGUGGCCAACCAUAAAAUCAAGCAGUCUGAUCAAUGGAAAUCUUGAGCAAACCCCAAGCUUUAGAGUGUGAGGGGUCAGGUAGGCUAUUACAUCAGAACCAAGGGGGCUAUCGCAUGGCAGCCUUACACACAUGUAUUUAACGAGCAUAUAAAAUAAGAUCUAAGAAAAAGAUUGUUGCAGUAGUCAACCCCUACACGUGUCCAUGUUUCACUGGUUCUGAGAAGUGACUGGCAAAUAGCCCUCUUUGGACACCAAACCAGUGGGUGCAUCUUUAUAUUAGAAAGUGGCUUCCUCUCCAUCUCUCCUUCCCAUCAUCUCCUUCCAUACAUUGGAGAAGUCAGUGACAUGGAGAGGAUCUCUUCUCCUUUGUUCUGAGAGUUGACCAAAUGAAGAUCUCCACUCCUUUGCUCUGAGAGGUGGCCAAAUGAAGAGCUCUUCUCCUUUGUUCUGAGAGGCGACCAAAUGAAAGGAGGAAGAUUAGAAGGAGCCACUUCAGAGUACUGAGACGUACCCCAGCAGGUAGGCCAAGUCAGAUUGUUCUGAGUGCCCAGCUGUGAG